ACGAGGAUGAUGGAGUCCCAGAAAGUGACAGUCAUCUAUCUCCCUUGGCCACAGGGGAACUGAUCAUGUGACUUCUAACAACAUUUGGUGAUGCUGAGACUGUGUGACUCCAAAGCCUAGGUCCUAGGAAGCACUGUGAGCCUCUUCUUGAACCCUCUUCUUGGAUCACGUACUGGGGAGAAGUCCGCUGCCGUGUCACAAGAAGGGUAUGUGGCAACAACUUAGGGUCACCAACAUUUCGUCCAAGUGAAUAGACAGUCACGUGACUCACAGAGCCAGCUGUCAGAUGACAACGCUGCGUGCAUCCUGACUCAAAUUCUUGCUAGAACUUGAGCCUGACCCUCAGACACGGAAACUGAAGCUCAACAGACUUCUCAAGGACAGGUGCAUCUUAACUAAUCAACGCCCAAUCUAAUAUCCAGACACAGUAGAGACCUAGAACGCAUUCAUCUCUGGAUGAAUUCACCUGUCACGAUCAUAAAUUCUUUCACGAGCACCGGAGAUGAGACCUGAGGAAUCUACCCAGAAGCAGACAGCAGAGUCCUGGGCAGAGUUAUUCUUUGUUGUGAGUUGAGGCCUGCCAAAGCCAUUUCUGUGGUUGAGAUAGUCAGAAGGCGGCAUUCC
rnacentral:lncRNA from 1 species